rfam:Gossypium raimondii Chr05_contig_1084, whole genome shotgun sequence.
AUUUUGUGAUGAAGGCAUCUUCGUAAUAGUUCUUUAAACCUCUCGCAUUCCUCAUACAAGGACUCAUCAUCAGACUAUUGGAAGGUAGUAAUCUCGUUCCUCAACUU